AAAAACUCCGGUGGUAUGAGAUGGGCCCGCGUCUGAUUAGCUAGUUGGCGGGGUAACGGCCCACCAAGGCAACGAUCAGUAGCCGACCUGAGAGGGCGACCGGCCGCAUUGGGACUGAGACACGGCCCAAACUCCUACGGGAGGCAGCAGUGGGGAAUAUUGCACAAUGGGGGAAACCCUGAUGCAGCGACGCCGCGUGAGCGAUGAAGUAUUUCGGUAUGUAAAGCUCUAUCAGCAGGGAAGAAGAUGACGGUACCUGACUAAGAAGCCCCGGCUAACUACGUGCCAGCAGCCGCGGUAAUACGUAGGGGGCAAGCGUUAUCCGGAUUUACUGGGUGUAAAGGGAGCGUAGACGGCGGUGCAAGCCAGAUGUGAAAGCCCGGGGCUCAACCCCGGGACUGCAUUUGGAACUGUAUGGCUGGAGUGUCGGAGAGGCAGGCGGAAUUCCUAGUGUAGCGGUGAAAUGCGUAGAUAUUAGGAGGAACACCAGUGGCGAAGGCGGCCUGCUGGACGAUGACUGACGUUGAGGCUCGAAAGCGUGGGGAGCAAACAGGAUUAGAUACCCUGGUAGUCCACGCCGUAAACGAUGACUACUAGGUGUCGGGCAGCAAAGCUGUUCG
rnacentral:rRNA from 1 species